rnacentral:sRNA from 1 species
GACCACUUCAGAAGAAGUUAAGGCCAUACGGACAGCCGGGUCCACUGCCGA